rnacentral:rRNA from 1 species
UACGUAGGGUGCAAGCGUUAAUCGGAAUUACUGGGCGUAAAGCGUGCGCAGGCGGUUGUGUAAGACAGAUGUGAAAUCCCCGGGCUCAACCUGGGAACUGCAUUUGUGACUGCACAGCUGGAGUGCGGCAGAGGGGGGUAGAAUUCCACGUGUAGCAGUGAAAUGCGUAGAUAUGUGGAGGAACACCGAUGGCGAAGGCAGCCCCCUGGGUCAAAACUGACGCUCAUGCGCGAAAGCGUGGGGAGCAAACAGG